UAACAAUAUCAUUCAGUACUUUAAAUGCAAGGAAAACAUAAAAUAAAUGCCUUCUGGUUGAUAAGGAAUUUAAUAAUCAGUUAGGACAAGGUGUCAGAUCAGGUAAGAUCCAGGCCUGACUUCAUAAGAGUAUAUCUAUCAAACCUCAUGAACUUAGAAAGAACUGAAUAUAUAGUGUCUCAAAUGCUGACCCAUUGCUAAAGUCUGCAAGCUCUUUUGAUAAAUCCAAGCAGCUGGCAGUAUGUUCAAAGUGGUGGGAAAAAGCAAGACUUGGAUCCAAAAACACCCAAAUUUUUGAAUCAGGAUGCUUCAAAGGGAUACCAUCACUACAUAUUGACAAGAAGAGGAGACUCUUAAAUAAGUAAACUUUAUAGACCCACAUUUCUCAAUAUGUAAUAACAUUUAAUUUAACUUAUACGAGGAAAACACUGUUUUAGCGAACAGUCAAAACUCAGAUUCCAAUAGGAAGCCAAGGUGAUUGACAAAGAGGCUGAAUGUAGAAUGGUCCUAGGUGGGAACUCUGAAGUUGUUGAAAAUGGAGUGGACGAAAAGUUGCCUCUUAAAAUCUUAAUCUGCUGCUGUCUAUCAGUCAAACAAGACUUCCGAAGUGAAAGAGACGUGGUGCCAAGAAGAAGAAUUUAUGGUUGAUGUUUUCGAAGGAUUUACUAAAGUUCGUGCCUAUCGCACCUGUUUUAUUACAGAUUUGAUACGUCAAACGUCUUGUCAACCAUAGCGACCCACCUGAUGGCCCGACAAAAUGGCGACGGCGAAUCCCAAAUUAUCUCCUUAAAUUUGUCGAAUUUAUUGGUGCUGAUUUUACUAAAAGGGUUAAUAUUUGCCGCGGCCUCCUUGGUAGGAUAUAAGGGACAUUAUGGGGGUCAUUAUGGAAGAAGCUUGGACCCGGAAAACAAGAGUUUGCUCUCGGACGAAGAAAUUGUUAACUUUUUAAGAUAUUUAGCGGGAAAUGAGCAUUGAGGGAAUCUAGGGUGAUGGUUGUUAUGUUUACUUAUGAUUAAUUUUAAUAAAAAUGUUUCUGUUUU